AUAAAUGUUAGAUAAGACUUCUCACUGUAUUAUUAUUUUAUGAACAUGCUUUUAAGAUAGAUAAAAUGCUUUUCAAUGAUGGUGCAGUCAUGGAGUAACACCCCGAUGGCUUCUUUGCUGUGUUGAUCAACCUCCUGGCAGAUUCUGCCCAGCCGCUGGUGUGCCCACUGCUCGUUUGAAAAUGCUGUGGAAGUAGAACAACUGUCACCCGAUGUUUGUGACCGUCCGGCUGCACGGACAACAGGCACACCCUUCUGCUCCAUCACUGCCGACACGUCCUGGUCAAGCACUCACCAUCUCCUGCCUACACUGUCGCCCUGUCUGUCUGUGUUGGAACUACUCCAAGGAA